rnacentral:rRNA from 1 species
AUUGAACGCUGGCGGCAGGCCUAACACAUGCAAGUCGAGCGGACGAGGGAAGCUUGCUUCCUGAUUUAGCGGCGGACGGGUGAGUAAUGCCUAGGAAUCUGCCUAUUAGUGGGGGAUAACGUUCCGAAAGGAACGCUGAUACCGCAUACGUCCUACGGGAGAAAGUGGGGGAUCUUCGGACCUCACGCUAAUAGAUGAGCCUAGGUCGGAUUAGCUAGUUGGUGAGGUAACGGCUCACCAAGGCGACGAUCCGUAGCUGGUCUGAGAGGAUGAUCAGCGACACUGGAACUGGAAAACGGUCCAGAUUCCUACGGGAGGGAGCAGUGGGGAAUAUUGGAAAAGGGGCGAAAGCCGGAUCCAGCCAUGCCGCGUGUGAGAAAAAGGUCUUCGGAUUGUAAAGCACUUUAAGUUGGGAAGAAGGGAUGUAAGCUAAUAUCUUGCAGCUUUGACGUUACCAACAGAAUAAGCACCGGCUAACUCUGUGCCAGCAGCCGCAGUAAGAC